ACAGAGGUCUCGAGCGUUAGGCGGAAUCACUGGGCUUAAAGCGUGUGUAGGCGGAUUGCUAAGUACCUUGUGAAAUCCCACGGCUUAACCGUGGAACUGCUUGGUAUACUGGCUGUCUUGAGCCACUUAGGGGCGACCGGAACAAACGGUGGAGCGGUGAAAUGCGUAGAUAUCGUUUGGAACGCCAAAGGUGAAAACAGGUCGCUGGGAGUGUGCUGACGCUGAGACACGAAAGCCAGGGGAGCAAACGGGA
rnacentral:rRNA from 1 species